rnacentral:rRNA from 1 species
GUCUAUGGCCAUAUCACCCUGAACGUGCCCGAUCUCGUCUGAUCUCAGAAGCUAAGCAGGGUCAGGCCUGGUUAGUACUUGGAAGGGAGA